rnacentral:rRNA from 1 species
UAAUACAGAGGUGUCAAGCGUUGCUCGGUAUCACUGGGCUUAAAGGGCGCGUAGGCUGUGCGGUACGGUUCGGGUGAAAUCCCUCGGCUCAACCGAGGAACUGCCCGGGCGACGGCCGCGCUGGACUGCAUUAGGGGACGAUGGAACUCCCGGUGGAGCGGUGAAAUGCGUAGAUAUCGGGAGGAACGCCGGUGGCGAAAGCGAUCGUCUGGAGUGCAUGUGACGCUGAGGCGCGAAAGCUAGGGGAGCAAACGGGAUUAGAUACCCCGGUAGUCCUAGCCCUAAACGAUGUGCACUAGGUACCGGCUCGUUCCGACGAGCCGGUGCCGGAGCAAAAGUCUUAAGUGCACCGCCUGGGGAGUACGGCCGCAAGGUUA